ACCCAGGUAGCUCUGUUGGUUAGAGCAUGGUGCUGAUAAUGCCAAGGUUGCAGGUUUGAUCCCCACAUGGGACA